rnacentral:rRNA from 1 species
AAUGAACGCUGGCGGCAUGCCUUACACAUGCAAGUCGAACGGCAGCAUGACCUAGCUUGCUAGGUUGAUGGCGAGUGGCGAACGGGUGAGUAAUGCAUCGGAACGUGCCUUUUAGUGGGGGAUAACGUAGCGAAAGUUACGCUAAUACCGCAUAUUCUCUGAGGAGGAAAGCAGGGGACCUUCGGGCCUUGCGCUAGAAGAGCGGCCGAUGUCGGAUUAGCUAGUUGGUGAGGUAAAGGCUCACCAAGGCAACGAUCCGUAGCGGGUCUGAGAGGAUGAUCCGCCACACUGGGACUGAGACACGGCCCAGACUCCUACGGGAGGCAGCAGUGGGGAAUUUUGGACAAUGGGCGCAAGCCUGAUCCAGCCAUGCCGCGUGAGUGAAGAAGGACUUCGGGUUGUAAAGCUCUGUCGGCUGGGAAGAAAUCGCACCCUCUAAUACAGGGUGUGGAUGACGGUACCAGCAUAAGAAGCACCGGCUAACUACGUG